rnacentral:lncRNA from 1 species
CCCUCUGGGCACUGCUUUUGCAGCAUCCCAUAGAUUUUGAGUGGUUUUGUCUUCACUAUCAUUUGUUUGAAGUAGUAUUUUUUAAUUUCCUUCUUGAUUUCCUCCUUGACCCAUUGGUUUUUUAGUAGCAUGUUGUUUAGUCUCCAUGUAGUAAGUUUUUUCUCAUUUCUUUUCCUAUGAUUGAUUUCUGUUUUCAUGCCAUUGUGGUCAGAGUAGAUACUUGAAAUAUUUUCUAUAUUGUUAAAUUUGUUGAAGUUAGCUUUGUGCCGCAGUAUGUGAUCAAUUCUUGAGAAUGUUCCAUGUACACUUGAGAAAAAUGUAUGUUCUGAUUUGUUUGGAUGUAGUGUCCUGAAGAGUCAAUUAAGUCUAACUUUUCUAUUGCGUCACUUAGGAUCUCUGUUGCCUUAUUGAUUUUCUGUCUAGAGGAUCUGUCCUUUGAUGUGAAUGGGGUGUUAAAGUCUCCUACUAUUAUUGUAUUCCCAUUAGUUUCUCCUUUUAUGUCUGUUAGUAUUUGUUGUAGGUAUCUGGGUGCUCCUGUAUGAGGGGCAUAUAUAUUGAUGAUUGUAAUAUCCUCUUCUUGAUGGAUACCUUAACCAUUAAAUAAUGUGCUUUUUUGUCUUUCUUUAUGGCCUUCAUUUUAAAGUCUAUUUUGCCUGAUAUGAGUAUUGCAGUACCUGCUUUCCUGUAUUCUCCACUGGCAUGAAAUAUCUUUUCCCAUUCCCUCACUUUCAAUCUAUAUGUGUCCUUUGCUCUAAGGUGAGUUUCUUGUAGACACCAGAUUCAAGGUUUUUGCUUUUUUAUCCAAUCUGCCACUCUGUGUCUUUUGUUUGGAGCAUUCAGUCCAUUGACAUUUAAGGUGAUUAUUGAUAGAAAUGUAUUUAUUGCCAUUUUAAACCUUGUUUUCCAGUUGAUUCUAUGUUUCUCUUCUUUUUUGGGGGGAUAGGUGGUUUUAAUUUAUUUUAUGCUUGAGUACUUUUCUUUUCAGUUUUUGUGAAUGUGAUGUUUGAUUUUGAUUUGUGGUUGCCCUGUUUUUUAAGCACGUUAAGCCCUUCCCAAAUCUGUUUGCUUUUGCCUGAUUGUCAUAUAGGCUCAGACACAUCAUUAAAAUUAAAAAAAAGGAAUCUACAUUUUAUUACUUUUCUUCCCAAAAUUGCAUGAUUUUGAUGUCUUUUUUUUUAACAUCUUCAUGUUUAGAUCUGUAUGCUGGCUUAAGUGAUUGCUUUCCAAUUGUGGUUUCCUACAUCCUAAUUCUUCUUUUCCUCUGUUCUCUCCUCCCCCUUUUUUUUUUUAAUUUAGAGAAGCCCUUUCUGUAUUUCUUUUAGAAUGGGUUUAAUAUUGCUGUACUCUUUUAACUUUUGUUUGUUGGAGAAAUUCUUUAUUUCCCUUUCUAAUUUAAAUGAUAUUCUUGCUGGAUAUUCUAGGUUGAAAAUUUUUUCCUUUCAGCACUUUAAAUAUAUCUUGCUACUCCCUCCUGGCCUGUAGUGUUUCUGUAGAGAAAUCAGCUGAUAUCCUUAUGGGGGUUCCCUUAUAAUUAAUGCUUUUCUUUUCUCUUGCUGUCUUUAGAAUCCUCUCUUUAUCUUUAACUUUUGCCAUUUUUAUUAUAAUAUGUCUUGAUGUGGUCCUAUUUGGGUCCAGCUUGUUUGGUGCCCUCUGUGCUUCCUGUAUCUUGAUAUCAGUACGCUUUAGAUUUGGAAAGUUUUCAGGCAUAAUUUCUUCAAAUAUAUUUUCAAUCCCCUUUUUGUCUUCUUUUCCUUCUGGAAUUCCUAUUAUGCAUAUAUUGGCCCGCUUUAUAUUAUCCCAUAGAUUUCUUAUAUUGCUUCAUGUUUUUCAUUUGGUUUUCUGUCUGCUGUCCUGAUUGGGUGAUUUCCAUUAUUGUAUCUUCCAUGUCACUAAUUUGUUCCUCUGCAUUUCAUUCUGGUCUUUAUUGCCUUUAGCUCAGUUUGUAUCUCUGCAAAUGAAUUUUCUAGUUUUUCUUGUUUCCUCCUUAUAUUUUCUAUUUCCUUUUUAAGGGAAUCUGCAUUACUGUUCAUAUCCUCUCUUAAUUCUUUCAGUAUUUUCGAUACCUCCCUUUUGAACUCAAAGUCUGACAGACUGCAGAGGUCUGUUUCAUUGUUGUCUGCUUCACAUGAAUACUCCUGUUCCUUUAACUGGGAAUGGUUUCUGUGCAUCUUCAUCUUGCUCGUGUUUUUCUUUUUCCGUGAGUUUGGGGAAGCCAAACUGUAGUCUUGUAAGGCUAUUUCUAUGCAGGAAUACCCCUUUGUAUUUGGGGGGGGGGGUUACUAUUUAUUUUUGGUGUGGGAGUUUGAAUAUUUGCUGUCUCUUUCUUUGGUGUGAGCAGGUUGUUGUUCCCAGGAUGCUCAGUGUGUUUUCAGGGAGAAGGAGGUAAUGGGUAGGGCCAGCAGUCAGUGCCUGGUUGUUGAGCUCUCAAUAGCAGCAAGGACCUGCAGGAAGGUGGCACAGGCUACUCCUAGUUGCAGGGCCCUAUCCUGAGUCUCAGCACCCAGCCCCCCCCCAAGCGUUUCAGGCUGUGGUGUCCAGGCAGGUGUUCAGAUGAUCUGUGUGGCUCUCACUCUGCUUUGCUGUUCUCAGUCCAGCUGCUAUGCUUUUCUCAGCGACUUUGAGGUCCCACCAACUCAGCCGAUCUUUCGUCAGGUUAGGUGGCUUCCCAGGAAGUGGGUUCCUUUUCUCCUUCACAGCUCCCUCUCCCUCUCCCUCUUCACAGUUAGUCCCAUCCUGAUUCCUUUUCUCUCUCUCAUUUUCUUUUAUUCUACCCAGUUACGUCAAGAGUCUCUUGCCCUUUUUGGAGGUUUAAGUUCUUCUGCCAGCAUUCUGUUGAUGUUCUGUGCAAGUAGUUUUACAUGUAGAUGUGUUU